UAUAAACUUGUGUGAAAAAUUUUUUUUUUUAUACGUAAGAUACUCAACAGUCAAAAUUUACAAUGAAAUGUUUAAUUGUAAUUUUUAUAAUUUUUGUUACGGUCUUCAUCGACAUAUGCAGAUCAUAUAAGAUAGUUGGUAAAUAUGCAUCAUUUAUGAGAAUUACGAAUAACGGAUGAGUAAUAAAGUCUUAUUUUGUUUUAAUUAAAAAAUAUACACUUUUUAAGUUUGGUAAUGUUUUUAUUAACAUUUUAUAUACAUGAUACGAUUUUCAAAAUAUUUUGACUAGUAUGGUCAUAUUUAGUUUCGACAAAAUAUCGAAAAUUUACAAAUAUUUUAUAAUAAUAUAGGGGUUUUGCAGGAACUACUCGAAUACUUGAAUAUUUUAAAAUUAGGAUAAUAAUUAAUUCGAAUUUAUUUGGAUAUAAGGCUUAAUAUACGUAGUAGACAAAUACGUAUCUAAUAUUCAUAUAUUUGUAUUAACCCUUUCUGCAUUAGUGUCUUAAAUGAUGGACGUUUGAUGACACGAAAUGUUUGGUUAGAUUAAAUACAUAUAAAUAAUUUAGGUAUGAUAGCGUUUAAUAUUUUAUGUGAUAGCAUAACAUGUCUAGUUAAUAGAUAAUGGAAUAAUUUAUCUUUUAUUGUGUAUCAAUUGAUUUAUAGAUAAUAUAAAUCUCGUAAUGUAGUGAUAACAAUUAUUUGUUGUUAUCAGAAACCUUAUACCAAUUGAACCGAAACUUAUAUAACUACAUUAUAAGCUGUGUGGAAACAUUUCGCAGUGAUGUAGCCCGCCUUGACACUAUAGUCUGUCCCAGGAGAGAACGGUCCGCUCUCUGACCAAAUCGAAGCGCUACUGCGCAUCCCCCUGCCGCAACACUAUCCAUUUAUUCCCUCCCGGAUCUAUCGACAGGUUUUGUACACUGCGUUUCAAAUAAUGCACUGUUGUCUGUCGAUAGUCCACUGUUUAUCGCCAAUAUGACAAAAAUGAUAAAUUGUAAUUUUAACGAAUAAAAAAUGAAAUGUUUUAAUAUAAUUAUUUAUUAUUUAUUAAAUAUAUAUCUCUGUGUUAUACCUACUUUAUUAUACCUACUGAAUUAUACCUACAGUGUUCAAUAAGAUAUUAAAUAAAUAAAUAAAUAUGUAUACAAAAAAAACAAAGUCUGGAUUAUUAUAAAAGGUGCUUGUAUAUACGAUAGUUUACGAUUUGAAAAAUUAUCAAGAGGUUAUAAAACAGCAAAGAUAAAUAAACGUGCGAUGCGCGAUGUUUGAUUAUAAUAACAAUUGAAUUUCUACAAAAUAUCCUAGCGGUGUAUAGUCAUAAACCGACGACGGAAGAAAUGACAAUCGGCUAUGUGGAGGGGGAAAACAUGCGCAAAAGCGGACCAUGCUCUCCUGGGACAGGCUAUAGAUGUACUAAUUUUACAAUAUAAUACGAUAAUGCAAACUAUGCUCGUAUGCUUGCUGUACACACGUCACAUAAUCAACGAAUUAACAGAGAAUAAUUUUAUUUAACUUGUAAUUUAUAUUUUGUCCUAAUAGACAGAUCGUAGGUACUAGUAAUAUUAUAUUGGGGCAUCGGGCAGUUAAGUAUACUAGGUACUUGAAUAUUCAGAAUAUAGAUUUACGAGUUCAAAAAAAAAAAUAAUUAACUUGCCAAGCUUUGUGAACAUGAAACUAAUUGUAUAAUUUUCUGUUGCAUUUAAAAAUGAUUACAAUUUUUUUUACUGUAGGCCAGGGUCUCAAUGAGAUGUUUGAGCCCAAAGGUAAGAUACGUUUAAACAUAUCAGAAUACAUCUAAAUCAAAUAUUCUGAAAAUGUAUUCAGAUAUUUUACAUUAAUAAUAUUUUUGAUGUCUAAUAAAAAUAAUUUAAAAUUAAGUCUAUGAUUUUAUAUAUUAUACGAUGUUUAUUAAAUAAUAAUAAUUCUAUUUCAAUAAUUAUCAAUAAUAUGAACUACUUAAUUUAUUUAUUUAAAUUCUUCAGUUCAUUGGCAAAACAUCAGUGCUAAACACACAUUCAUUGGUAGUACUAUUGAUCAUACGAGUAUAAUUUACCUCAGUGCGUGCCACUUCGGCGAGAAGCAUUAUAAUAAUUGUCGGACAAACUUUUCAAAAUUGGUUAUACAAACCACGCACUAACUAAAAAUGUUUUUUAAAACUAAUUGAGGGUUUGCCAUCCAUCCAUCCACCUUUUGAUAAUUCUCUAUUUACAAAAAUACCCAUUUUUUUGUAUUUUUUUUUUUACAAUUUAUUUAGAUAUAUUAUAAAAAGUAAUAAUAUAUAAUUUGUACUAUGGUAAUAAUGUAAGUUGAUAAUAAUUAAGAAAUUAGUAUUUAAUUAAGUAGUGAAAUAUUUGCUAAGAAUAAACCAAAAAUAAUUUAGUAUCUUAAGACAAUUUAUAGUACCUUAAUUUUAGAUUCGGAGCGUAGCGUGGGAUCUAUCGAUUUUACUAUGAUGAAUGGUUUGUUUUUCUGUCCUGAAAAAAAAGAGUGUUAAAACAAAUUUUUAGUUCAGUACAAAGUACUUCAUGUUUAGUUAUCAGUUUUGUCCGAGCGGAGCGUAAACCAUCAAUAGUCUUCAGAAUGUCAUCAAGAGACGAUCCUAGCUUAAUAUUAGAAGGUAACUGGGGUUUGAUGGAACUAGAUAAAGAAGAAAGACUAUGAAUUGGUGAGUUUAUAUCGGUUUCCACGAAAAAGAGAGAAAGGCGCCCGGACCUAUAAGAGAACGGAAAAGUACUAUACGAAAGUUAUAUUGCUGCUUUUGCCUAUAAAAUAUACACAAUUUGUGUACAAAUUAAUUUUACUAAAUAAAAUUUUUGAAAACUUUUGAAAGAUUUAACAAAAAUAUAAAAAUUAUUAAUUUUGAACUAAAUCAUGACGAGAACAAAGAACUGUAAAUUUACAUUUUAAACUUAAUUUACAAUUAUAAAUUUUAAUUACAGAAUUAAAAAAUUACUUGAUUAUAUGUAACUAAAAUAUAAUUUAAUAAUUUUCUAUGGUAUUGGAAAAUAAUAAUUAUUUCUUUUUUUUACUCAAGGCGCUAAUUGGCGUGUAAGUACAUCGGAAUACACUAGUAAGAU